rnacentral:rRNA from 1 species
GCUAAAAACUUAGCCUUACCCCUACAAUUAUAUUUACCCUAUUUUACUUACACAAAAUAAAACAUUCUUUAAGCUUAGUAAAGGAGAUAAAAAAGUUUUUUAGAGCUAUAAAAUAAGUACCGCAAGGGAAAAAUGAAAUAAAAAUGAAACAAAAUUCAAGCAUAAUAUAGUAGAGUUUUCCCCUCGUACCUUUUGCAUCAUGAUUCAACUAGUUUAACCACGCAAAAAGAAUUUAAGUUUGACUUCCCGAAACUAAGUGAGCUACUUCAGGGCAGCUAAAUGAGCCAACCCGUCUCUGUUGCAAAAGAGUGGGAUGACCCUUAAGUAGAGGUGAUAAACCUAACGAACUUAGUGAUAGCUGGUUAUUCAGGAAAAGAAUUUUAGUUCAACUUAAAAUUACAUAAAUAAAAUAAAAUAAAAUUUUAAUUUUAAAGCAAUUCAAAUAAGGUACAGCCUAUUUGAAAUAGAAUACAAUCUAAACUAUAGGGUAAAUAUAAAAAAUUAAUGUAAUAAAGUAGGCCUAAAAGCAGCCAACUUUAAAAUAGCGUCAAAGCUUACUUCCAUAAUUUUUUAAUACUAUUAUUUACAAUGAACCCUUUAUUUUUACUGAAUAUUUCUAUAAAGUUAUAGAACCUUUUAUGUUGAAACUAGUAACAAGAAGUUAAACUUCUCCUCAAUAUAAGUAUAAGUCGACUAGGAUAAACCAUCGACAAUUAACGCUUAAAUUAAAUGUAUUAANUNCACAAGAAAAACUUACAUUACCCCACGUUAAUCUUACACCAGAACAUUUAAGGAAAGAUUNNAAAAA